UACGUAGGGGGCAAGCGUUGUCCGGAAUCACUGGGCGUAAAGCGCACGUAGGCGGUUUGCCAAGUUGGGGGUGUAAGCUCUAGGCCUAACCUAGAAAUUGCCUCCAAAACUAGCAUACUUGAGUAUUAGAGGGGAAGCUGGAAUUCACGGUGUAGCGGUGAAAUGCGUAGAUAUCGUGGAGAACACCCGUGGCGAAGGCGGGCUUCUGGCUAAUUACUGACGCUGAGGUGCGAAAGCUAGGGGAGCGAACGGG
rnacentral:rRNA from 1 species